UACGGAGGAUGCGAGCGUUAUCCGGAUUUAUUGGGUUUAAAGGGUGCGCAGGCGGCACGGCAAGCCGGCGGUCAAACCGCGGGGCUCAACCCCGCCCAGCCGUCGGAACUGCCGGGCUAGAGUGGGCGAGAAGUGCGCGGAAUGCGUGGUGUAGCGGUGAAAUGCAUAGAUAUCACGCAGAACUCCGAUUGCGAAGGCAGCGCACCGGCGCCCUACUGACGCUCAGGCACGAAAGCGUGGGUAUCGAACAGG
rnacentral:rRNA from 1 species